GGGCUACACACACGGCUACAAUGGUCUGUACAAUGGGUAGCCAAGCCGCGAGGCGGAGCCAAUCCUGAAAGCAGGACCUCAGUUCAGAUUGCAGUCUGCAACUCGACUGCAUGAAGCCGGAGUUGCUAGUAACCGCAGGUCAGCAAUACUGCGGUGAAUACGUUCCCGGGUCGUU
rnacentral:rRNA from 1 species